rnacentral:lncRNA from 1 species
UAACAUGGCAAAGGCAUGCACUGGUGCUACUUAUUACUCGUGAUCUACUCAUUCCUUGGGGCUUUAUCACUUCUAGCAUUCCGGGUUUAUUGUCCGACGCUGCUGCUGGUGGAACCGGUGCAGGAAGGCCUGAGCCCUACUCAACUAGGUCAACUGCUAACAACAACGCUGUAAAACGGCAGCCAUCAGUCGGUCAUCAUCUUUAGGUCGGGAUCGUAGCGGCCUUGGUUGCCGGACAGUGACCAGCCAACCGGAGCAAAUGUGGAAUGCAGGGGAUGCCCCGUGUUAGCGAACGUGCUGCCGUUAGGUCCCAUGGGGCUCCCUGGAUCAUCAGAGUGCUCGCUUGAUGUUCCGU